CAAACUCCCAUUUCCGCCGCCAUCCACUCUCAUCUUCUUCCUACGCCGCCGCCGUGGUAGGAAGGGAGAACGCCGCCGUCUGCAGUGCUUCGAAAUUUCACGACCCUACAUAGGGUGCUGAUAUAGUUUGAACAUAAAUAUGCCUCUCUAUGACUGCAUGCUUUUGUUAAAACCCACUGUACCAAAGGAAGCCCUCUUUGAUUUGAUUGCGCGGGUGGGAAAGCAUGUUUACAGAAGAAAUGGAGUGGUGACUGAUUUGAAAUCCUUAGGAACUGUUCAAUUGGGUUAUGGAAUCAGAAAACUGGAUGGGCGACAUUAUCAGGCCAACUGCUACAGAUGACUAUAAUGACACCACCUAGCAUAAACUCUGAGUUAUACUAUCUGAACAAGGAAGACCGCUUGCUCCGUUGGUUACUGAUCAAACACCGUGACAUUUAAUUCAAAGGGGGCUCAACGCGUGAAGUCGAUAUCGCAACUGAGCUUAGAGAUCUCAAGAGUGUUUUGAACGAUGGCAACAUGAAUAUUGAAGAGGAUGACGACGAUGAUGAUGACGAGGUGCAAUCUGAAUCAGGAGAAAGCAUGAAUUAGAGAUGGUUAGUUCUUGAUGGUCUUCUCUUUUUGGUGUGGG